AUUGAACGCUGGCGGAAUGCUUUACACAUGCAAGUCGAACGGCAGCACGGGGGCAAGUCUGGUGGCGAGUGGCGAACGGGUGAGUAAUACAUCGGAACGUGCCCGGUCGGGGGGGAUAACGUAGUGAAAGUUACGCUAAUCCCGCAUACGAUCUGUGGAUGAAAGCGGGGGACCUUCGGGCGUCGCGCGACCGGUGUGGCCGAUGUCCGAUUAGGUAGUUGGAAGGGUAAAGGCCUACCAAGCCGACGAUCUGAAGCUGGUCUGAGAGGACGAACAGACACACUGGGACUGAGACACGGCCCAGACUCCUACGGGAGGCAGCAGUGGGGAAUUUUACACAAUGGGCGCAAGCCUGAUCCAGCCAUUCCGCGUGCAGGACGAAGGCCUUCGGAUUGUAAACUGCUGUUGUAUGGAACGAAAAAACUCUGGCUAAUACCUGAGGAUCAUGACGGUACCGAAAGAAUAAGCACCGGCUAACUACGUG
rnacentral:rRNA from 1 species